ACGUCUACGAGUUUGUCAUGGCUCAGACUGAACGCUGGCGGCAUGGCUAAUGCAUGCAAGUCGAACGAAAGCCCUUCGGGGCGAAAGUGGCGAAAGGGCGAGUAAUACGAUCGAACGUACCCCAAGGUGGAGGAUAGUGUCGGGAAACUGACGGUAAUACUCCAUGUGCUCUUCGGAGGAAAGCUUUGGCGCCUCGGGAGCGGCGAUCGUCCUAUCAGGUAGUUGGUGAGGUAAUGGCUCACCAAGCCGAAGACGGGUAGCGGGUGUGAGAGCAUGACCCGCCGCAUCGGGACUGAGACACUGCCCGGACUCCUACGGGAGGCUGCAGCGACGAAUCUUCCGCAAUGGGCGCAAGCCUGACGGAGCAAUGCCGCGUGUGGGACGAAGCGUCUUCGACGUGUAAACCACUGUCAGAAUCUAGGAACACUGACCAGAUUCAAAGGAAGGGCCGGCUAACCUCGUG
rnacentral:rRNA from 1 species